rnacentral:rRNA from 1 species
ACUCAAAUGAAUUGACGGGGGCCCGCACAAGCGGUGGAGCAUGUGGUUCAAUUCGACGCAACGCGAAGAACCUUACCUGGGCUCGAACGGCUUAAGAACAACGGUAGAAAUACUGUCUUCCCGCAAGGGACUUGAGUCGAGGUGCUGCAUGGCUGUCGUCAGCUCGUGUCGUGAGAUGUUGGGUUAAGUCCCGCAACGAGCGCAACCCUUGUCCUGUGUUGCCACUCCGUAAGGAAGCACUCGCAGGAGACCGCCAGCGAUAAGCUGGAGGAAGGUGGGGAUGAUGUCAAGUCAUCAUGGCCUUUAUGUCCAGGGCUACACACGUGCUACAAUGGGCGGUACAAAGCGCUGCAAACCCGCGAGGGGGAGCUAAUCGCAAAAAACCGUUCUCAGUUCGGAUCGCAGGCUGCAACUCGCCUGCGUGAAGCUGGAAUCGCUAGUAAUGGCGUAUCAGAAUGAUGCCGUGAAUACGUUCCCGGGCCUUGCACACACCGCCCGU